CCUACGGGUGGCAGCAGUGGGGAAUAUUGCACAAUGGGCGCAAGCCUGAUGCAGCCAUGCCGCGUGUGUGAAGAAGGCCUUCGGGUUGUAAAGCACUUUCAGCGGGGAGGAAGGCGGUGAGGUUAAUAACCUCAUCGAUUGACGUUACCCGCAGAAGAAGCACCGGCUAACUCCGUGCCAGCAGCCGCGGUAAUACGGAGGGUGCAAGCGUUAAUCGGAAUUACUGGGCGUAAAGCGCACGCAGGCGGUCUGUCAAGUCGGAUGUGAAAUCCCCGGGCUCAACCUGGGAACUGCAUUCGAAACUGGCAGGCUAGAGUCUUGUAGAGGGGGGUAGAAUUCCAGGUGUAGCGGUGAAAUGCGUAGAGAUCUGGAGGAAUACCGGUGGCGAAGGCGGCCCCCUGGACAAAGACUGACGCUCAGGUGCGAAAGCGUGGGGAGCAAACAGGAUUAGAUACCUGUGUAGUC
rnacentral:rRNA from 1 species